AUCGCUUUUCAGCCUUUUGGCUAAGAUCAAGUGCAGUAUCUAUUAUCAGUUUAAUAUCUAAUAUGUCCUCUAACCUAUACAAUACAUUAAAUGGAUUUUUGGAGCAGGGAGAUGGAAUAAGAGCUUGCUCCGUCCACUCCACGCAUCAACCUGGUAUUGCAGGAAAUAUUAAAGUGCCACAAAC